AGUAGACGACAUAAUUACCCGCCCAUCUUUCGAAUAUCUGAUUGUACGUCUGAAAAUAUAAUUCUUGAAAAAUUAGCCAUUGACGAUAACGGGUCGAUGAUUCUAGUCGACGGUUUAGAGGGACUAACGUUGGCUGUGGAGUUCACUCCGCUUUUUUCGUUGGUAUGCUUUGAACUAUCUAAUUUACCUCUAAUUCAAGCGGAAUAAAUGCUUCUGACAGAGAGGUGGAUGUGUUAAAUUAAGUUUUACUUGGGUUUUAUUUGUUCUUUUCUUUGUAGCGGGUCGUUUCGUUAUAU